GGGAUCUUGCUGGGGAUCCCUCCAGUACCUGAGGUCUUCUGAAGAGAGAGAGAAAUCCCUUUGUACUUCCUGGCAGCCUGUAAGGCUGGAGAAGAUAAAGGAGAAACAGCAGCAGUUAGUCUCUUGGCAGUGAGGAGCUGGAUAGCUGAGACACCCCUCUGCACCCUAAAAUGUUGAGAAAAACACUUCUGAUAUGUAAGCCAAAUGUUCCAUUGCCAGUGAAUUACCACCAGUCAAGCUGAUGAAAGUCUAGGAUGGACAGCUGGAAAAAGGAAGCAAGAAGAUGAAAUGCUUCAAACUUGUUUCUAAAUCUUGACAGACUUAUCUCACUGAGAAACUGUGUGUCAUUUUGUCUGAACACUUCACAAUUUGCCUCAGUAAUUACACACUGCAUUUACUAUUUAAAUCUUUUAUUUUUAAAUACAAGAAUCCAACAAAUAAUUGCCUGUUAGUUAGAACAGUUGCUUGUCUGUGAAUACUUAAUUAGUCCCUUCCCUCAGCAACUGCUACUGACAGAGACGGGAUAGAAGGAGGUGUUUCGAAAGCUUGUUCUUACAGAUUUUUAUAAUGGAUUUUUUAAAAAGAUGAUAUCAUUAAUGCCAUCACAUCCCUGGAGAAAGGACUGAACAGCUCUGCCAUUCCUCUCAUGCUGACAGCUCUCUUGAAUCGAUCCUUGUAACUGUAAAUCAUAAUUAAGGAAGAUGACAAGAGAACAUCAUGUCUGAGACUUUCCAUUUCAGUGUGAGAGUAAUUGCAUCCCAGCAGCCCUGGUUUGGAAGCCACGAUGGGCUUCUGCCCCUGUCAGCUCACAAAGCCCCCUGCCUCCAGUGAUGCUCACUCUGUGUAUACCAGCAGCAGAUUUGGCUCGCUGCUUUUCAUGCAGUGAAAGUCAGGAUAAGUUUUCUCCCAGGGGGGGAAGGGUAUAGAUUAACAGAACUGGGAGAGUUUGCUUCAAUCAUUUACUUGUGGAAAGAUGUGAAGGUGAGGAGACCAUGCCAGAAUGGAAUGAGUGGUGCUGGUACUCUGCUCAGGAUGACACUUGCAAUCUCUCUCUCCCUCUUUGCUCUGGUUUCAUUAGUUUUUCCAAGUCCAUCUACAUUCAAAACAACCACUUGACUGAUCAGCAAUAAAGGAGGAGAAUGAAGCUGGGAAAGAUCAUACUAAAUCUCAUAUGACUCACUUUUCUUCCACUAAGGAUUUAAUGCACGCUUAUAGCUCAAGACUGAGCUAACCAAGAAAAAUUGAACACUGUUCUCAUGGGUUUAACAUAGACUUCAGGAGAAUCUAGUCACUCCCCACUGCUGCCAUCAGUGACAGGUUUCUGAUGCAGACCAGGAGUGUGGCUCAGGAGACACCCGUGCUGCUCUCUGGAUGCCUAAUUACUGCUGACCAUGGUGUAUUCCACCUGGAUUUACCCAGCAGACUGGGUGCUAUUGAUUCUGCAUGGUAACAUGAGAUUCAGAAUGGGCUUCAUAAUAGUUGGACAGGCUGCCUGCUUUGAAAAGUGUACUGUGUUGCACCCCAGUGAGUGAACUUUAAGAUAGUUCAGGAUGUUGACACAAACUGAAGUCAUACCACCAGACUACAAAAUAGACUUGCCCUUCAAAAGUCCUAGAAACUGCUGAUUAGGUGUGAGGAAAGGAAAACAAGAAAAAGCUGAAAAUUAGCUUUUUAACUUUCAGGGUAUGGCAGUGAAGUAUCAUCAUGCCAGCAAUUUAAUAUAAUUUCUGUGCUGGAAUUAUAUAUAUUUCAGCCAUGUGUCCUUGCUCCAGUCAAGCAAUAUGAUACAAUAUGUCAUGUCCAGCACUCUUAAAUUGCUGUUAUUUUGCCUACUUCCCUACCAUAUUGCUUCAUCAAGAAGGAAAUCCAAUGGGCUCUUGCUUGAGUUGACUCAGGGAGGAUUGUAUUGCUGGAUUUUCUAGUCAAAAUACAGUUUGUAGGCGAUCCUUUCACUUAUGACUCUAAAUCUGGCACUUUGAGUCUUUCCUUGAAUCACAGGACACAGUGAGAUCCCAGAGGAGUGUGAUCCCAGAGGCUUUUCCCUCAAUUUUCCUCAGAUGAGUCUAAAGAUUAAAACAGAGAAACGUUCCCCUCUUAUUAGCAGUCCCUGAUCUGCUCUUGCUGAAAUGGAAUAAGCUCUUGGCAUCUCCAGUACCCUUUUGUCUUACUGAGGGCAAUGAGUUUGGAGACUUGUUCAACACUGAUGUGUUCCCUGGCCCUUCUCUGCUUCUUGGUCUGAAGGGAGGAAGAUCACAGGCAGUUGGAGUCUGCCAGGUCUACCCAGCAGUCUCAUGGGUUCUUGUGCUGUCAGGAGCUGGGCCAGAUGCCUAAACCCAGCCCAGGGCUCUCCUGCUCCAGAUGUCCCAGGAACAGCUUCAACCCAGUGUUUCUGUUUAAAAGGCAUUUGAAAUGAGCCCGCUAUUGCCAAGAUAAAACUAGUUAGAGGAUUUUUUUUCCACUGACACCCACAUAAAAUCUUUUCAUUUGCAGUGUUUUAAUGGUGCUCUGUGUUUUUUUUUCUUUCACUGAAUAUGGAACCAAUCUGCGCCCAGUGCUUGCUUAUGUGUUACUGGGUUGGAUCAUCAUGAGCCACUGAGAUGUUUGCUUUUAGCAAAGGCAGAGGAUUCCUAUUCCAUCAGAAAACCCAUUUUUUCCCCUUCUUUUGUUUCCUCUUAAAAUCCUGUCAGGGUAGAUCAGUGAUCUUUAAGCAAGCUGCAAAUUCAUUGAAUCAACACUAUUUGUGCCCAAUUUUUCUUCCUUAAGCUCCGUGGCUAACUAAAGCAGCCACAGCAGAAAAACUGGAAUAGGGCAAGAAAGCAGAAUGCUGAGGUUUUAUUACCAAAACUGAGCUGCUGCUGUGACUCCUGAUGAUCUUUGAAAUUUACUGAAUUGUGACUAACACUAAAGUUGAUGCCAGAGUGAGCAGAUUUUUUUGCAAAUAUUCUUUUACUUGUACUGAGGAAUUUUUUUGUAGGUUUUGUCCUGCAGCCUAACAGCAACUGGCUACGAGAGUAGUGAGGUCUGUUUUGAAGACCAAACAUCAUCACUGAGCAAUUUGUAUGUGAUCCUGAAUGCCAUUUUACUGUUUUGACAUACCAAAUUGCUCUAAUGCUCUUAUUUCCAAAA